rnacentral:rRNA from 1 species
GUCUACGGCCACGGCACCCUGAACAAGACCGAUCCCGUCUGAUCUCGGAAGUUAAGCAGGGUUGGGCCUGGUUAGUACUUGGGUGGGAGACCACCUAGGAAGACCAGGUGCUAUAGGCA